ensembl:miRNA microRNA 16-1
GUCAGCAGUGCCUUAGCAGCACGUAAAUAUUGGAGUUAAGGUUCUAAAAUUGUCUCCAGUAUUAACUGUGCUGCUGAAGUAAGGUUGGC